UUGGGAUCAGGGGCUGCGCAUAUAAACAGCGCAGUUUAGCUGCUAGAGGCUAGGUAACAACAUUGCCUGACUGGAGAGGUACUAAUAUCAUCUGGAGAUGGUUGAAUCAUCCUUAUUAGAGAAGUCAAGUGACUGAAUGGAUCUAGAGCAGGUUUGAGGAAAAGAGGGCAAGAAAGAUUUUUCUGCUGAAGCCUCCAUUAUCUGCAGUGCAGCCCAUCCUGCUGGAACAGGCUUGCUCCUUGUAAGUGGAUGAAGUGAAGAUUUAUUAUCAUCAGAACAUGUGGAAAUUAGAAAAUGGACUAAUGGAAACCAUUAAUGUCCUCCUCUCAACAAUCAGAUGAAAUGUAGAUCAAUACAGUGUAUUAAUAGAUUGAAAAUGAUUUAAUAUGGUAUAAACAUCCAGUCUCAGAUGGUAAAUGAGAAGAAAGAAAAGAAAGACAAGGACAGCACUCUUUUACAUAUUUGAAAGAUACAAACUACUCCCUCAAGACAUAUUUCCUGUCCAGUAUUUGGAUAUCUUUAAAGGAAUAAUAUUAAAGAAUUGAUUUGUAUCCUUCUAUACAACUACUCAACUUUGUUUGAUAUGAAACAGUUGAUUUCCUUAUGAAAGCAAGUUGUGUUGCAAACUUGUAACAAUGAAUAUAUCCUUUGUCACCUAUUCCACAGGUAAAAUAAUAGUAAUAAUAAUGGUAAUACCACUUAUAGUUUGCAAACAAAAAUUGUUACUUUCCUUAGUAUCAAUGCCUUCUUUGUUUGCUAUGUGCAUAUAACAUUGUAGAAAGGAAUGAUUAAAUAUGAUUGAUAUAACAGUUCCAGUCCCCACACACAUUCUACACAAACCUCAAAGGAAAACCUCAAAGAAGAAACAAAGAGAACUCCAAAGGAAAAUUACUGCAAAAGUACUUUGUGCUAAACUGGCAUCAGGCAUAAAAAUAAAAUAAUAUCUAUAAGUGAA